CCUACGGGUGGCAGCAGUGAGGAAUAUUGGUCAAUGGGCGCAAGCCUGAACCAGCCAAGUCGCGUGAGGGAAGACGGCCCUACGGGUUGUAAACCUCUUUUGCCGGGGAGCAAGCCUGAGCACGUGUGCCCAGGCGGAGAGUACCCGGAGAAAAAGCCUCGGCUAACUCCGUGCCAGCAGCCGCGGUAAUACGGAGGAUGCGAGCGUUCUCCGGAUUUAUUGGGUGUAAAGGGAGCGUAGACGGCCAUGCAAGCCAGGGGUGAAAGACCGGGGCCCAACCCCGGGACUGCCCUUGGAACUGCAGGGCUGGAGUGCGGGAGGGGCAGGCGGAAUUCCUGGUGUAGCGGUGAAAUGCGUAGAUAUCAGGAGGAACACCGGCGGCGAAGGCGGCCUGCUGGACCGCGACUGACGUUGAGGCUCGAAAGCGUGGGGAGCGAACAGGAUUAGAUACCCGUGUAGUC
rnacentral:rRNA from 1 species